rnacentral:tRNA from 1 species
GGCGGUGUAGCUCAGUCGGUAGAGCAGCGGAAUCAUAAUCCGCCUGUCGGGGGUUCGAUUCCCUCCGCCGCCACCA